GUAGUGCAUACUACUGUCGGAUCGAGAAAUAGACAUCCGAGAUUCGUCCACGUCACCAUGAGUUAAAAUUGAACUCUCAGUAAAAUUUUAACUCAUAGGUGAAUUUGCGAGUUAAAUUUUAACUCAUGGUGACGUGAAUAAAUCUUGGACGUCCAUAUCUCAAUCGAACGGUAGUUUCCAAGUUUUC
rnacentral:pre_miRNA from 1 species